GAUGAAGAACGUAGCGAAAUGCGAUAAGUAAUGUGAAUUGCAGAAUUCAGUGAAUCAUCGAAUCUUUGAACGCACAUUGCGCCCGCCAGUAUUCUGGCGGGCAUGCCUGUUCGAGCGUCAUUUCAACCAUCAAGCCCUGCUUGCGUUGGGGUCCUGCGGCUGCCCGCAGGCCCUGAAAACCAGUGGCGGGCUCGCUAGUCACACCGAGCGCAGUAAUACAUCUCGCUCUGGGCGUGCGGCGGGUUCUUGCCGUUAAACACCCCCUUUUUACCAAGGUUGACCUCGGAUCAGGUAGGAAUACCCGCUGAACUUAAGCAUAUCAAUAAGCGGAGGA
rnacentral:misc_RNA from 1 species